rnacentral:rRNA from 1 species
AUUGAACGCUGGCGGCAGGCCUAACACAUGCAAGUCGAGCGGAUGACGGGAGCUUGCUCCUUGAUUCAGCGGCGGACGGGUGAGUAAUGCCUAGGAAUCUGCCUGGUAGUGGGGGACAACGUUUCGAAAGGAACGCUAAUACCGCAUACGUCCUACGGGAGAAAGCAGGGGACCUUCGGGCCUUGCGCUAUCAGAUGAGCCUAGGUCGGAUUAGCUAGUAGGUGAGGUAAUGGCUCACCUAGGCGACGAUCCGUAACUGGUCUGAGAGGAUGAUCAGUCACACUGGAACUGAGACACGGUCCAGACUCCUACGGGAGGCAGCAGUGGGGAAUAUUGGACAAUGGGCGAAAGCCUGAUCCAGCCAUGCCGCGUGUGUGAAGAAGGUCUUCGGAUUGUAAAGCACUUUAAGUUGGGAGGAGGCUCUUUUGGUUAAUACCCAAGAUGAGUGGACGUUACUCGCAGAAUAAGCACCGGCUAACUCUGUGCCAGCCGCCGCAGUAA